ACCGGGGACACAGCCGGGGUCGGAACCGGGGGCAGGACCCGGACCCGGACCCGGGGCUCCGUUCGCGGCACGAUGGGGCAGGCGGCGGCUGGAGGAGGGCAGCCGCGGACCCCGGCCCACAGGUCUUCCCCUCAGGCAGCGGCGUGAGGAGCCCGUUCCGCGCCGCGGGGGCUGGGAACCGGCAACACCGGGGUGGGUUUUUUAUUCGUUGUUUUCUUUCUCUUUAUUUUCCUCGCCCCCUCCCCUUCCUUGGGAAUCGCGUUGCUGCCUCUGCACGCACACAGCAGCCCCUCAGCGCGGGGCAGAGCUGCGCACACGCGUAGAGUCCCGCCGGUAAGCUGUGAGACAGGGUGAUGCUGUGCUGAAACGCGUGUUUGUAGCGGGUUUUGUACUGUUCUGAUGGGUUUGGGCUUAGUUUGUCUUCGGGGUUUUGGUUGAUUGGUUGGUAGUUGAUUGGUUGCUUAGUGUCUGCCCUUACAGACACUCGCAGCCCCCGGGGCCCACAGGCGGAGGCUGCAGCCAGGCGAUGGAGCAGUGCCUGUUGUACAUGGUGUUCUGCAGACCCACCUGCUCCUGCCCAAGGACUGAUGGUAACGUGGGUCUGGCUGCGCAGGAGUUCCAGAAACUGCUUUGCAUAACAGUUGUAUUUUCACAGGGUAAUCUUCCCUGUUAGCUGUGCGCUCCAGGGGUUUGGCAAUCGAUUGUUCGUACCUACACGGUUGUGCAGACUGGCUUCUCCAAGGCAAGGCUGUUGGGGAUGGUGCCUCUCGCUCUGCAGAGGCCAUCGCGCUUCAGGGCAAAGCGGCGCAGACUUAAAUCAGUCCACUUCUAAUUCGACUUUAUAAAUACAGUUGGGAGUGUAGUUCACUGUUCCACUGCCCUGCCUGAGGCCCUGCUGGAUGGGAGUGUGGUUGAUCCCAGUCUCAACCCAGGAGACUCCAUUGCAGGAGGACAGAAGCAUUUCUGCAGCCAUCAGCCUCCCUGCUGGUCCGUGGGAGCCCAAAGGACAUGAUCCAACAUGAUCUAGAGCUGCUUCCACGAGCACUGUGCAAGGACCAGGAAGUUACAGUGAAUCAGCUAAAGGUGAAACCAUGUUUAGGAUGUAAGUAACUGUGUGUCUCCUUCAGUCCAGAUUGCUGGAGUGGAAUUAGUUCUGUGAUUUUGGAGGUUGGAUGUUUGGUUUUCCUUAAUUUUCUUUUUUAAAGCAGUGGAAAAUAGGAUGAGUUUUAUGUGUGCAUGUAUCUAAAAAUACACAUACAUCCUCUGGAGUUCUGUUUGGGGUGAGGCACAAAUUUGCUGGGUUUAUUUUUGAUGUGAGCUCUCAUUAACUUUUAAAUCCAUUUGUUCUGACAGUAUUUCUUUAUGCUGCACUAGGAAAAAAUGGUGUAGCUGGUGACCAAGUUAUACAAGGAAGGAUUUGUUCAAUGACAGACACCAUUUUCAUUGCUGCCUGUCUCUGUUGUGUCAAAAAGCCUAGACUGAAAGUAUUGAAAGGCAAAGCCUGCUGUCAAAGGAGGGCAGAAACAGCCCAGAAAGGAGCAGGGGAAAGACCACAGCAGCAGGGGAAUCCCCCGACUCCAAAAAAGUGCUGUGUAUAAAACACAGUAUUAUGGAGUCUCUGCCCUUCCACCCACUGCUUUUUAUGAUGUUACUUAAACUAAACCUCUUAGCCUCCAUAUGAAGUAGGAUUUACUUUAUUUUGUAGACUGGUUAACUGUAUUGCAUAAACCCCAAGUGGACAUGCCAGAGGCUAGAGAGCUAGCCACUCUAGCUCGGAUUGGCUGGCAAGCACUACU